rnacentral:rRNA from 1 species
CUUGAACGCUUGCGGCAGGCCUAACACAUGCAAGUCGAACGAGUGGCGGACGGGUGAGUAAUGUCUGGGAAACUGCCUGAUGGAUGGGGAUAACUCCUGGAAACGGUAGCUAAUACCGCAUACCUUCGGAUGUUCCCAGAUGGGAUUAGCCAGUAGGUGGGGUACAGGCUCACCUAGGCGCCGAUCCCUAGCUGGUCUGAGAGGAUGACCAGACACACGGGAACUGAGACACGGUCCAGACUCCUACGGGAGGCAGCAGUGGGGAAUAUUGCACAAGGGGCGGAAUCCUGAUGCAGCCAUGACGCGUGUAUGAAGAAGGCCUUCGGGUUGUAAAGUACUUUCAGCGGGGAGGCGUUACCCGCAGAAGAAGCACCGGCGAACUCCGUGCCAGCAGCCGCGGUAAUUC